CCUACGGGAGGCAGCAGUGGGGAAUAGUGGGCAAUGGAGGAAACUCUGACCCAGCAAUGCCGCGUGAAUGAAGAAGGUCUUCGGAUUGUAAAGUUCUUUAGUCAGGGAAGAAGAAAAUGACGGUACCGGAAGAAUAAGCUCCGGCUAACUACGUGCCAGCAGCCGCGGUAAUACGUAGGGAGCAAGCGUUGUGCGGAAUGACUUGGCGUAAAGGGUGCGUAGGCGGUUAUACAAGUUAGAAGUGAAAUACCCCGGGCUUAACUCGGGUGCUGCUUCUCAAACUGUAAGACUUGAGUGCAGUAGUGGUUAGUGGACUUCCUAGUGUAGCGGU
rnacentral:rRNA from 1 species